rnacentral:rRNA from 1 species
AUUGAACGCUGGCGGCAGGCCUAACACAUGCAAGUCGAGCGGUAGCACAGAGAGCUUGCUCUCGGGUGACGAGCGGCGGACGGGUGAGUAAUGUCUGGGAAACUGCCUGAUGGAGGGGGAUAACUACUGGAAACGGUAGCUAAUACCGCAUAACGUCGCAAGACCAAAGUGGGGGACCUUCGGGCCUCAUGCCAUCAGAUGUGCCCAGAUGGGAUUAGCUAGUAGGUGGGGUAACGGCUCACCUAGGCGACGAUCCCUAGCUGGUCUGAGAGGAUGACCAGCCACACUGGAACUGAGACACGGUCCAGACUCCUACGGGAGGCAGCAGUGGGGAAUAUUGCACAAUGGGCGCAAGCCUGAUGCAGCCAUGCCGCGUGUGUGAAGAAGGCCUUCGGGUUGUAAAGCACUUUCAGCGGGGAGGAAGGCGUUAAGGUUAAUAACCUUGGCGAUUGACGUUACCCGCAGAAGAAGCACCGGCUAACUCCGUGCCAGCAGCCGCGGUAAUACGGAGGGUGCAAGCGUUAAUCGGAAUUACUGGGCGUAAAGCGCACGCAGGCGGUCUGUCAAGUCGGAUGUGAAAUCCCCGGGCUCAACCUGGGAACUGCAUUCGAAACUGGCAGGCUAGAGUCUUGUAGAGGGGGGUAGAAUUCCAGGCGUAGCGGUGAAAUGCGUAGAGAUCUGGAGGAAUACCGGUGGCGAAGGCGGCCCCCUGGACAAAGACUGACGCUCAGGUGCGAAAGCGUGGGGAGCAAACAGGAUUAGAUACCCUGGUAGUCCACGCCGUAAACGAUGUCGAUUUGGAGGUUGUGCCCUUGAGGCGUGGCUUCCGGAGCUAACGCGUUAAAUCGACCGCCUGGGGAGUACGGCCGCAAGGUUAAAACUCAAAUGAAUUGACGGGGGCCCGCACAAGCGGUGGAGCAUGUGGUUUAAUUCGAUGCAACGCGAAGAACCUUACCUGGUCUUGACAUCCACAGAACUUUCCAGAGAUGGAUUGGUGCCUUCGGGAACUGUGAGACAGGUGCUGCAUGGCUGUCGUCAGCUCGUGUUGUGAAAUGUUGGGUUAAGUCCCGCAACGAGCGCAACCCUUAUCCUUUGUUGCCAGCGGUCCGGCCGGGAACUCAAAGGAGACUGCCAGUGAUAAACUGGAGGAAGGUGGGGAUGACGUCAAGUCAUCAUGGCCCUUACGACCAGGGCUACACACGUGCUACAAUGGCAUAUACAAAGAGAAGCGACCUCGCGAGAGCAAGCGGACCUCAUAAAGUAUGUCGUAGUCCGGAUUGGAGUCUGCAACUCGACUCCAUGAAGUCGGAAUCGCUAGUAAUCGUAGAUCAGAAUGCUACGGUGAAUACGUUCCCGGGCCUUGUACACACCGCCCGUCACACCAUGGGAGUGGGUUGCAAAAGAAGUAGGUAGCUUAACCUUCGGGAGGGCGCUUACCACUUUGUGAUUCAUGACUGGGGUGA